AUGCCGCAUACAUACUCUUCCCUCCCUCCCUCCCGCAUCCCCGCUGCUUCUUUUACCACCGCAGCCGUCUCCUCCCGCUCUCGCCCCCGCCCGCCGCCUCUUUGUCCUCCUCAACCUCAACCUCAACCUCCGCCGCCGCGCUGCGCCUCCUCAUCCUCAGAAAUGGAGGCCAGUUCUAGCACUGCUCUCUACCCUCAGCGCCGCUGCAAAAACAUAUACCUGGUGAGGCAUGCUCAGGGUAUCCAUAAUGUGGAAGGCGAGAAGGAUCAUAGCGCCUACAAGUCGCCUGCGCUAGUUGAUGCUCAUAUCACCCCUUUGGGCUGGAGCCAAGUUGAUUGCCUGCGAGACCAUGUGAGGGAAUGUGGACUAGCGAAAAAGAUUGAGUUGGUUGUUGUUUCCCCUCUAAUGAGGACUAUGCAAACUGCAGUGGGGGUCUUCGGUGGUGACAACUGUACUGAUGGAGCAAGUACAUCACCAUUACUAAUGGUACAAGGCGCUGGACACAGUGGGCGUCAGGCGAUUUCAAGUUUGGACUGCCCGCCGUUUCUCGCAGUUGAGGCCUGCAGGGAGCGCCUGGGUGUUCAUCCCUGUGACAAGAGGAGCAGCAUAACAAAAUACCGUACUCUCUUUCCUGCCAUUGAUUUUUCGCUGAUCGAGAAUGAUGAAGAUGUUCUUUGGGAACCCGAUGUCAGAGAAGCGAUUGACGUUGUUGCUGCCAGGGGCAUGAAGUUCCUUGACUGGUUAUGGACAAGAGAAGAAAAUGAGAUAGCUAUUGUCACCCACAGUAGUUUCUUGGAUUUCACUUUAAACAUGUACAGUAAAGAGUGUCAUCCAACCAUAGCAGAGGAUAUGCGCAAACGAUUUGCAAACUGUGAGCUCCGGUCGAUGGUGUUGGUCGACAGAAGUAAGCUUGGAUCGGAUACCCCUACAUGCGAUUUCCCUGGGAAGAUACCGGCCGGACUUGAUCUGCCUAGUGAUGUCGCGGACAAGAAGCACACUGAAGAAGCUAGCAGUGGGAACCGGGGAGCGGCUGGCUGUCUAGAGCACACGCACAUGAGCUCGCCCACUCGCCUCAUUUCUACCUAA
rnacentral:rRNA from 1 species